GGUUUUAUAGUUUAAAAAAAACUUUAAAUUGCAAAUUUAAUAAUGAUUUCAUUUAAAUCUAAAACUU
rnacentral:tRNA from 1 species